UAUCUCUGUAGAGUCUGCAUAUCAAUAAGCGGAGGAAAAGAAACUAACAAGGAUUCCCUCAGUAACGGCGAGUGAAGCGGGAAGAGCUCAAAUUUGAAAUCUUCAAGGUUUUACCUUGACGAAUUGUAGUUUAAAGAAGUGUUUUCUGUUAGAUGAGUAGCAAAAGUUCCUUGGAAUGGGACAUCAUAGAGGGUGAGAAUCCCGUAUUUGGUUAUUCAUUCUAGCUUUGUGAUACACUUUCAAAGAGUCGGAUUGUUUGGGAAUGCAGUCCAAAAUGGGUGGUAAAUUUCAUCUAAAGCUAAAUAUUGGCGAGAGACCGAUAGCGAACAAGUACCGUGAGGGAAAGAUGAAAAGAACUUUGAAAAGAGAGUUAAACAGUACGUGAAAUUGUCAAAAGGGAAGCGUUUGACACCAGUGUUGUUUUUCCAAAAAUCAAUUACGAAUGGCUUGAUUUUGUGUUGUAUUGACCUUAUCAGCUUUCUUCACUUUUUUCGAGUCUUUCUUAAUGCACUUUUCGGUUAACAAGUCAACAUCAAUUUCUUUUGUUGUAAAAGAGUAUUCGGAAGGUGGCUUUCUUUUCGGAGAAAGUGUUUAUAGCCCUAUACUUCUACAAUCGGAGAGAUUGAGGUCUGCAGCGUAGAUCCUUCGGGGUUAGAUACAUUUGUGCUAAGUUGUAGCUUUUCAUAGACAACUUGUUGACUAUGUUUAGUCAUGCGGCUUACUCGCUUAUGCUAUUUUACCUACGCUUAGGAUGUUGAAGAUGUAGCACAUCAU
rnacentral:rRNA from 1 species